rnacentral:misc_RNA from 1 species
UGAGCUUCGUUUUCGUGUGGAGAAGAACUUGGAGGACUCCAAUCCGGAGCCAAUGGACAUGGAUGAUAUUACGGAGGAUGGCAAUGGGGAGGCCACUAAUGGCGAUGCUGCAGAGGAGAAGUCAAUGUAUGAUGCUAAACAGAAUAGAGAAGAAAAGAAGGGGGAACUGAGUAGCAGGGAAUUUCUUCUUCCAAGGUGGUCAAACAGGUACUAUUUUCUGCUACAGAAGAUGUUCGAGUUGAGCAGGAGCAUAUUAUGGUUGAGGAAAACAGCAUGGAUCAGAAGCAGGUUGGGGUGGUGAGUCCUAUAUUGCUGAAGAAGUUCGGAUACAGAAUGAGGUUAAAAUGAUGGUUGC